GAUGAACGCUGGCGGCGUGCCUAAUACAUGCAAGUCGAGCGAAUGGAUUAAGAGCUUGCUCUUAUGAAGUUAGCGGCGGACGGGUGAGUAACACGUGGGUAACCUGCCCAUAAGACUGGGAUAACUCCGGGAAACCGGGGCUAAUACCGGAUAACAUUUUGAACCGCAUGGUUCGAAAUUGAAAGGCGGCUUCGGCUGUCACUUAUGGAUGGACCCGCGUCGCAUUAGCUAGUUGGUGAGGUAACGGCUCACUAAGGCAACGAUGCGUAGCCGACCUGAGAGGGUGAUCCGCCACACUGAGACUGAAACACGGCCCAGACUCCUACGGGAGGCAGCAGUAGGGAAUCUUCCGCAAUGGACGAAAGUCUGACGGAGCAACGCCGCGUGAGUGAUGAAGGCUUUCGGGUCGUAAAACUCUGUUGUUAGGGAAGAACAAGUGCUAGUUGAAUAAGCUGGCACCUUGACGGUACCUAACCAGAAAGCCACGGCUAACUACGUGCCAGCCGCCGCGGUAA
rnacentral:rRNA from 1 species